UACAGAGGUCUCAAGCGUUGUUCGGAAUCACUGGGCGUAAAGGGUGCGUAGGCCGCGCGGUAAGUCAGAGGUGAAAUCCCGGAGCUCAACUUCGGAAUUGCCUCCGAUACUGCCGUGCUUGAGGACUGGAGAGGAGUCUGGAAUUCACAGUGGAGCAGUGAAAUGCGUAGAUAUUGUGAGGAACACUAGUGGCGAAGGCGAGACUCUGGACAGUUCCUGACGCUGAGGCACGAAGGCCAGGGGAGCAAACGGG
rnacentral:rRNA from 1 species